AUGUUACCAAGGGGCCAGGCGCGGUGGCUCACGCCUGUAAUUCCAGCACUUUGGGAGGCCGAGAUUGGAUCUGGUUCCUCGCGUCUUGGAACAGCAGCAACUAUUAAAGGAGAUACAGACACUGCUAAGACUUCUGAUGAUAUCAGUUUAAGUCUGGGCCAAAGUUCUAGUCUUUGUAAGGAAGGAAGUGAAGAACAAGCUACUCAGGAGGUUGAGGCACGAGAAUCGCUUGAACCUGGGAGGCGGAGGUUGUAGUGAGCCGAGAUCGUGUGACUGCACUCCAGCCUGGGUGAAAGAGCGAGACUCUGUCACAAAUAGAGAAACACACACACACAUACAGAUUUGGCAGCUGAUCGGAAGCUCUUUCGUCUUGUCUCCAAUGACUCCUUCAUCUCUAUUCAGCCUUCCUUAUCCUCUUGUGGACAGGACUUGCCAAGGGACUUCAGUGACAAAGUGAACCUGCCAAAUCAUAACCACCACCACCAUGUUGAUCAGUCUCUGUCCAGCGCCUGUGACACAGAAGUAGCUUCUCUUGUACCUUUACACUCAC
rnacentral:sRNA from 1 species